ensembl:lncRNA
GUCGGGUAGCCAUCAUUCCCCUUUACCACGAAUGCUGGACUUCCGUCACUGUCAGAACAGCAGCAAAACAGUGUGCCUGGCUGUGUGUGCUCGAAGGAACGAGGAUCAGAAAUCUAGCUGGAUGUGCCACAAAGUGACAAGACAUAAUAAACAUAAGGCCAUAUUGACUUUGAAGAAGAAAAAAUACAUUUCCUUCAGUUAGCAAAGGACAGACAAGAUAGCAAUGGCAACAGACAGGGAGACACGAUGCUGUAGCAACCCGGGACAGGGCUCUCUGCAGUGACUAACAGUGGAGGUUACACUGCUUGGCUACAUCCUCAAAACAGUGGAAAGCAAACAGUGAGAAAUAAAAGGGCUAAGCCAGCUACCUGAAUGAUGCUCCUAUUCAAAUGCUUGGCAGUUAACCUCUAAGAUCUUCUCUGUUGCUUUAGGCCCUUGGCUGGUUGUGCUCCUUUAUGCCAUAUGUGAAGUGGUGUUACCAGUAGAAGUGUUUUCAAAUAUUCAGUUAAGAAAAGAUUCCUUCUUACUGUGACUGAAACUCCUUCAUUCUUGUCUAAUUGGAGUAUUUUGUACUUAUCUUCUUAAAAGUGCACUUUUUUUUUCUCGUGUCUCCAAAAUCUCAAGAUUAUUUUUAAAUUCUCACUCUCUCCUCCAGUGCAUUAGCAGUCAGUCCUCAAAUGGUGCUGUCUGCAAGUUUAUUGUUUCUUCAUCUGAGAUGAGAAUGAAAUCAGUGCGCAGUUCCAGACCCAGAGAGGCCUCUAUCCAACCCUACUGCAUACCUCUGUACGAGCUUUUGGAACUAUCAAUAACCGCUUUUCAGACAUGGUUAUACAACAGACUUGACUGAUGAUGCCACGUAUCACACUCAGUGUUCCCGAUAACUUCAUCAGUGGCCAGAGGAGGUGAGCCCAAGAAACCAUGAGGACCCAUUUCCAACCUUCAGGGUCGUUCACCCUUCCUCCCAAUCUCCUCACACUUCUGCUGUUUACCACACAUCCUGCCAUCCCGCACAGCUUUGCCGGAGGCCUCGCAACAUCAGCAGCUACAGGCAGUGCCUCUCUGAGGAGUAGCUCCCACUGGAGAUCAACACAGAAGACCCUUACAGCACUGGGAAGAGGACCCCAGGGUCCAACUCAAACAAUAGGAUCUCAUUAUGGAGUUAAGUCACCCCCAGUUCAAGGCCUUUUUGGAGAUGGGGAACAGAAGAUCUUUGAGGUACAGUGAUGGGCUGAUGUUCAAGCCCCCUCCAGCUGCUCUCCCAGCUGAGCCUUCCUCAGUACCAGCAGCAAAUUGAGGCAGUGCUAAUGAAGCUGGAAGUGAUUCCAUGUAUUUCCUAUGCUGCCACCACACCAGUGCCGUGAGGAGGAGUUCGGUGAGAGGAGGAAAAUCCUGAAGCUUCCCCAUCACACAGCAACUGAGCAAUACAAAAGACAUGAUUUCCUUUAUAACAGUAAGCUAUGAGUUGAUUAAUGGCCACAGCAGAGAAAGACAAACAGUGAAAUCAUUUAUAAGCCACUAUACACCUUCCAGUCCAGGAAAGGAUUCCAAAACAACCUGAUACAUGUAGCAGUUGCUGUUAAAAGGAGGCAUUCCUGUUGUGUUAUUGAUUUUGUGUAUUCAUAGACACCGACGUCAUGUAAGAAGCAUCAGUAAUGGUUUUCCACAUCUUCUUGAAAUAGCCUAUAUCUUAAUGCACUGUAUGUCUCUGUGCCAUGUUUCUGUAAUGCCUGUGACAUUGGUAUUGGACCGACUAGAGCUCGUCUUAGUAGGAGUAACUACUGUCCAAACGCUGGAAGAUCAAUAAAGCCCA